GUACUGAUGAAGAGUCCCAAACUAGGACGAAAGAUCUAUCCAGUAC
rnacentral:hammerhead_ribozyme from 1 species